GACGAACGCUGGCGGCGUGCUUAACACAUGCCAGUCGAACGGAAAGGCCUGCUUUCCCUUGUGGAUUGCGGGUACUCGAGUGGCGAACGGGUGAGUAACACGUGAGUGAUCUGCCCCCAACUUGGGUAUAAGCCUGGGAAACUGGGUCUAAUUCCCGAUAGGACUGCAGGGUGGUGCCUGUGGUGGAAAACGAUUUUCUAGUGGUUGGGGAUGAGCUCGCGGCCUAUCAGCUUGUUGGUGGGGUAAUGGCCUACCAAGGCGGCGACGGGUAGCCGGCCUGAGAGGGUGGACGGCCACAGUGGGACUGAGAUACGGCCCAGACUCCUACGGGAGGCAGCAGUGGGGAAUAUUGCACAAUGGGCGGAAGCCUGAUGCAGCGACGCCGCGUGGGGGAUGACGGCCUUCGGGUUGUAAACUCCUUUCGACCGCGAGGAAGCCACCUGGUUGGAAGGGUGGUGACGGUAGUGGUAGAAGAAGCACCGGCUAACUACGUG
rnacentral:rRNA from 1 species